GUGUCGUUUUGUUUCAUCCAGCCUAUAACAAGCCUUGCGAUUCUCUAGCAGGAUAUCUGCACAUUUUUCAAGUACAAAUUUAAAGACUUUUAAGACCUUUUCAAGACCUCUAAAUGGAAAAAUUAAGACUGUACCAUGGCAAAGAAAAUGAUAAAUACGACAACUUAAAACUGUUUUCUGCAAUAGUUUUUUUUUUUACUAACUUUAAGAAGAAUGCACACAAUUGGUGAACAACAGGGUGCAUCAACGGCAACUGUUAGACAUGCAAACAGCUGAAGCAAAGUCAUGUGUUUUGGGUCUGCAGAACUACUGUAGCAGCAAGGAGAAGACUGGUGUUUACUGGAGAAAACACCAUGAAUCAUUUCAAAAAUGAAAACAAACGGCAAGUAGAACCAGCUGAACAAGUCAAAUCAAGUCAAGUCAAGUUUAUUGUCAGAUAUGCUAUACAUGCUCGACAUACAGCACAGAUGAAAUUUCAGUCCUCUCUGACCCACGGUGCAAACAGGCAAUGCAAUAAAUAAAAAUAGAAUAAUUGAAAAAAAAUAACAAUAUAAACAGUAUAAACACUCUAGAUAGGAACUAGACAUAGACUAAACACUCAGACAAACAAUAUAACAGUAUAAACAAACAGUAUAAGCACUAGAUAAAACAAGACAUAGACUAAACACUCAGACAAUAUAAACAGUGUAAACACUAGAUAAGAACUACACACAGACUAAACACUCAAACAGACAAUAUAAACAGCCGGCAUUAUUUCAAUCCCCAAAGAUUAUCUUUGAUGAUAUGUGAUUUUGUGUCUGACAGCAAAAUCAGUCUGAGUGUCGUACAGUAUACAGCUGGCUGAGGAAGCUCUCGAGUAUCUUCUGCAUUAUAGCAGCGGCCACGAGACUGAGGGAAAGAACGACGGUCACACAACAGCCGGCAUACUGGAUGCUACCGUAGUGGCAGUUCUCUGAACAAAAAGGACCAAAUGUACAAUGACCUAGUUGAGCUAUUUGGAGAUAUGAAAUUGACAAUGCUGAAUGCGGAUACUGAUGGAAAAUAUAUUUUGCAGAGCAUUCAUUUCGAAUUAUUCCAUCCUGGAAAGUCCAGUGAGAGAGCUCGUGCAUGGUUCGUUCCUCACUGCUUCGUCAUCUUGUCGUAUGGACGCCAGAGGCUGAAGAAGUAUUCCUGGCCCUAAAAGGUGCCCUGCAGACCACACCCACGCUGGGACUGCCUGACCCCAAUAAACCAUUUGUUCAAACUGUAGAUGAAAAGAAGGGUUUUAUGACCUCUGUUCUUUUGCAGAAACACGGGGAUAGAUUGAGACCUGUAGCUUACUUCUCCAGCAGGCUGGAUCCAGUGGCGGCUGGACUUCCUGUUUGCCUGCGUGCAGUUGCUGCAGCUGAAAAGGUGGUAACUGCCUCCAGAAAUAUUGUGGGGUAUUCUAACCUCACCCUUUUGGUCCCACAAGCUGUCUCCCUGCUUCUGUUGGAGAAAAAGACGUCACAUUUGUCAGCAGAGAGAUGGUUGAAGUAUAACACUGUCAUACUUGAUAUGCCUAACAUCAUUGUGAAACGUUGUACUGUUCUGAAUCCUGCCAUUCUUCUCCCUACAGAGGACGAUGGAGAGCCACAUGACUGUGUUGCUCUCACUAAUGAUUUUUGUUCCCCCAGGGCAGACUUAAAGAGUGACCCAUUGGAAAAUCCAGACAUGGUCCUCUAUGUGGAUGGUUCAGCCUCCAGAGACGGGAAAGAACAAAGUAAGUUUUGCCGUAGUCUCAGAUCACAAGGUCCUCAAGGCGUCAUGUCUACCCUCGAACCUGUUGGCGCAGGCCGCAGAGCUCUGUGCCCUCAUUGAGGCAUGCAAAUUGGCGGCAGGGCAAUCUGUCAAUAUUUUUAUGGACAGUAGGUAUGCAUUUGGCAUUGUGCACGAUUUUGGCACCAUUUGGAAACAGAAAUUUUCUCACUAGCACAGGAUCUCCCAUUGCACAUCAUAAACUGGUCUCUGAGUUGUAGGAUGCUAUUCUACUCCCUAGAGCCAUUGCUGUGUCUAAGUGUGCUGCCCAUACUAACAAUACUGAUCUUGUGUCUCAAGGGAAUGCCAGGGCGGACGCGGCAGCUAAGUGUGCAGCCUCAGCUUCCAGUUCACCCUCUAACCUUGCUUUUCCUCAGGUUUCUACCCCCUGUUUACAGCUAGCGGACCUUCAGAGCACUGCCACUCAGGAUGAGAGAUGAGUCUGGAAACAGGCAGGCUGUAUCUUUGCAAACUUGGUCUGGGUUUGUCCCUCGGGCCGUCCCCGUCUACCAAAAUACAUGUUCCCUUUCUAUGCAAAAUUGGCACAUGGGCUCACCCAUGUGUCAAAAGGGGGGAUGGGAGCAGAAGUAACAAAGAGAUGGUUCACAAAGGUGUUUUCAAAUUAUGCUGCGAAAUUUUGCAAGCAAUGCUUGAUAUGUGCACAACAUAAUGCAGGUCAAGGUAUCAGACUAACUCAAGCAGCACACCCAAUACCAGACAAACCAUUUGAUCACCUCCAAAUGGACUUUGUUGAACUGACACCUAGUGAAGGGAAAAGGUAUUGCCUGGUAAUAGCUGACGUUUUCAAAAUGGGUUGAAGUAUUCCCCACAGCUAAACAAGACUCAGAGGUGGUAGUCAAAGCACUCCUGAGAGAUAUAAUUCCUAGGUGGGGUAUACCUAGCAAAAUCUCAAGUGACAAUGGAACACCCUUUGUUAAUGCAGCCCUAAAGAAAAUAGGAGCAUUCCUAGGGAUAGACCUGAAACAACAUUGUGCCUAUCAUAUUGCCAGUGUGGGAUCAGUAGAGAGGGAAAAUGGGUCACUUAAAAAUAAACUAAGCAAAGCUUGUGCAGAAACAGGGCUAGGAUGGACAAAGGUCCUCCCUGUAGUACUCACACAAAUGAGGAUGCAAACUAGGCCUAAACAUGGGUUAAGCCAAUUCCAAAUUCUGUUUGGACGAGUACCCAACAUGGGGAUAGGGCCAGCUAAAGGAACACUGCCGGACACCACACUGUGUGAUGAUGCAAUGUUGAAUUACUGUGCAACGUUGUCCUCUGCUUUGAAAUCUAUCCACAAACAGGUAAAAGAAGCACUUCCCAAACCCGCUGAGGGACCUCUGCACGAUCUACAACCAGGGGAUUGGAUCGUGGUGAAGGACUUCCAACGAACCAAGUGGAACAAGCCACGGUGGAAUGGCCCAUUCCAGGUCCUGCUCAUGACCCCAAUGGCAGUGAAGGUCACAGGCAGAGUGACGUGGAUCCAUGCUAGCCACUGCAGGAGGGUUCCUGAACCGGCUGAGCAGGAGUGAAAAGAAGGCCUAAGUGACCCAGACGCUGACUAAAGCUCAUGAGGAAGAAGAAGAAAAAAAAAAAUCACUACAUGGAACAGUGCGAGUAUCGCAUCAAUCACGCAUGCACCCGAGAAUUAGUGGACACUGAAGAGUGUAACCCAUUAGGAGACGGGCUGUGGCUCCUUAUCACGGACGAAGAGGUCAGAGUGACAGCUCCAGGAGGACAAUCCCAGCGGACAAAUUUGAAUGACACCAACGAGGAGAAAGAAGUGUUAAAUGAGUACAUCUUAGAACAGAACCCCAACCAUAAGGUGAGACAAGUGGUAACCCGAGACUCAGGAGGAGAGGUAAGUGAUUAUCAUUUAGAAGGUGCCCCACAUGACCGCUUUCCCACCUUGAUCCAAACCACGUGGCAAGCAAGUUCCGCGGAACUGAGCAUGGCAGCACAGUUACGCUGUUGCACCCUCAAUAGAGAACAGUAUCUUAGUAUCUAGUCAGUAAAACUGGUUUCAGAAGUCCUGAGUUUCUCCAAGCUCCGGUGAGGUGGGACGAGGGCUGAUAGGGCAUGCCCGCCCUCUGAGCACCAAUACACGUCAAGAAGGGCAAGGGUUAACUCGGAGACCUAUUUAACAUAAAAUGAAGGGGGUAAAUCAUUAUAAACUAGGUCCAGUCGUGGGCCUGAGUAUCUUGAUCCUGCGGGGGCUCACGAGAGGAUUCGUGGGGUGGUCGAUACAGGGAAUCCAGACUGACACAGAAUCGAGACGAGGGAGACAGCCAACUCAUAAUUUGUAUUGGCAGUAUGCUAAUUUUACAGCUAAACAAGCUAACAGGUCAAAUUGUGUAGUUUGCUCCACCCUGCCACACACCGUUACACAACCAUUCAUGUUCGAGAUCGCCAACACAACGGAUGAAGAUACUGCGCAAGCAUGGCGAGCCGUGAUGGAAGCUGUCUGUAAUGAUGUAGAAAAAGGCUGUAAUGUCACAUAUCAAGGUGGGGGAGAUGACCCGAGGGUAGAAAUUAGUGUAAAUGAACCAGGAAAGGAGAUAAAUUGUACCUUAUGUGCAGGGCGAAAGGGCGAUCCAAACUCUAACCUCGUAGGGAAGGUCAAGGAAACUAGGUGUUCAACCGUUUGCACAGUGCAGGGUUCAGUCCCAAAUCUAAAUGUGACCUGCAUGGGAUGAAGUGGCACUCUGUACAAGCAAGGCAGAAAAGUGACAAUAGGAGGUGACUUAGGACCAGGAGGGAAUCUAACUCAGUUAGCGGGUCCAACCUUCUAUUACCCAGGCUGGCAGUGAAAGUGUGGUCACCAUGUGUAUAACUUUCUUUCGGUAGAUUGGAAAGGCAUGUGUGCCCUGAUCCAAUUAGAUGCCCACCUAAUAAUAGCAACCCCUGAGACAAGUGGCAGACGGCGCAGAAGUGUCGAGGAUGAUUUUCCUCCUCCAGAACAUCAGCUGCAACCCAAGGUGAAGAAAUUCUUCCAGGCACUGUUUCCACAGUACGGGACAACACAACUCUGGAAUGAACUUGAGGUGGUGCAUUAUGGACUGACAGUUCGUGAAUUCAACCAUAGAGGCCAUGGAGAGCGUGAGAACUGAAUUGGCCGCACUCAGAUUAAUGACGACACAGAAUUGCAUGGCCCUUGACAUCCUUUUGGCAAAGGAAGGUGGAGUGUGUGUCAUAAUAUGAGAACACUGUUGUACGUACAUUCCUGAAAACGACGGGAAUCAUGGUAAUAUCACUGAGGCACUGAACAAGAUGCGCAAGGUUGCUGAACAAUUACGAGCAGACGAACAUGGAGGAGACAAAGACAGCUGGUGGUGUUGGUUUAGUGGAUGGAAGACUAAUUCUAUCCACCAUACCGGUCCUGGGCUUAGUGAUUGUGAUGCUAUGUUUGCUCCCUGUUUUCUGUCAGUGUUGUAUGUCUGUGUUUCAGAGGCAGCUGACAAAUAUCGGUUACCAGAUGGUGAAAAUAGGCUCAGAUGACUUGCCUGACUGGCCUCCAAACCCACACGAAGACUAUAACCCACCAUUCGAUGACAUCAGCACAAUUGACAUGAAACUAGUCCUGACUUAAAACACUUUCAUUAUGAUUGUUUCCUGUUCUAUUAUUCCUGAUCUAUGUAUAUGGCUUGCUAGCAUUUACUUAAAGACGUCUGUGUCUUAUAAAAACAGCCUUAGCAUUAUCCCUGUACACUCAAUGACGUGUUAAGUCAAAUCUCUCUGAGAACUCUUAUCACUGAAACUGUGUACAGUUCUUUUCUUUUAGCAAUUAUUAUCCUGUAGGAUAAAAAGGGGGGAAAUGUGAGGGAAAUCUAAUGGACGAACAUUAUUAUUCUCUGCGUUUCUGUAUGUUGAGCUCAAGUGACUUAGUGUACUGAGAAAAGUUGUUUUUCCAAUGCUGUAAUUGCCUUUCUGUGGCCUUGGCUGGUGAUAAGCAGGGUGUCUGAGUUCCUGCACAUCUCAGAGAACGCCAGGUGCAUGCUUUAAUAAAGCUUCAUAGAAAAUCUUGAGCCAAAUAACGUGAAGACGCAAGCAGUAAGCGAAUGCCUUUAGAGUAUAAUGGAUAACAGCCACUAAAACACAACUCAGAGCACACGCGUACUCUCACAUCACUAGAGGUGAUGUUCUGCUUUAAUUUUCUUUCUUUCCUAUCUUAUAUUUCUUUUAUAUGAUUUACCAUAAUAAAUGACUGAAA